GGGGGCGAUCGGUUUCGACGGGUGGUCGAAGGCGAGCGCUGCGUGCCGACGUUGUCACAUUCGUCGUUAAACAGGUGGCGCUGUUGGUAGCCAAUAACUGCCGACGCUAACUACGCUCUCGCUGCCUAGCUGAAACUAGAGUAGCGACGCCCGUCCGUGACGCCUUCUAGCGGGUUGCGGGUGUCAUCAGAGGGCUGGUCCUCGGAACGCCGCACCGUCGUCAUCGAGGACGAGAACCAUACGGGGCUGGGCCUGGUGACUCCUGAUCUCGAGACGAGCCAGGUCGACCACGGUCGAGAGCUACGCACGUAGACGCGCUGGUUGGAAGCCAUUCGGACGCGGGUUCGAUUCCCGCCGCCUCCACCA
rnacentral:tmRNA from 1 species